GACGAACGCUGGCGGCGUGCCUAACACAUGCAAGUUGAGCGAAGUAUCUAGAGAUGAUUUCUUCGGAUUGAAUCACUAGAUAUCUUAGCGGCGGAUGGGUGAGUAACGCGUGAGUAACCUGCCUUUCACAAAGGGAUAGCCUCGGGAAACUGGGAUUAAUACCAUAUGAUACUUCUUUUUCGCAUGGAAUAGAAGUUAAAGCGUAAAGCGGUGAAAGAUGGACUCGCGUCCCAUUAGUUAGUUGGUGAGGUAACGGCUCACCAAGACUGCGAUGGGUAACCGGCCUGAGAGGGUGAACGGUCACACUGGAACUGAGACACGGUCCAGACUCCUACGGGAGGCAGCAGUGGGGAAUAUUGCACAAUGGAGGAAACUCUGAUGCAGCGACGCCGCGUGAACGACGAAGGUCUUCGGAUCGUAAAGUUCUGUCCUUGGGGACGAUAAUGACGGUACCCA
rnacentral:rRNA from 1 species